UGGGGGGACGGGGAAGGAUAGGCGAACCAUGGCGUUGGUUGUCCAUGGACAAACCCGUAGGACGGGGCUUAGGAAAAUCCGGGCCCCAUACAGUCCGAGAGGUGAUGUCAGCUGGCUUCGUGCCGGCGAGUCGUUGAUUCCAUGCCUCCGAGAAAAGCCUCUAGGGAGUUGAAACGCGCCCGUACCAAAACCGACACAGGUGGGCAGGUAGAGAAUACCAAGGUGAUCGAGAGAACCCUCGUUAAGGAACUCGGCAAAAUGGUCCCGUAACUUCGGGAGAAGGGACGCCUCGGUAGAGUGAUGAGAUUUUCUCUCUGAGCUUGAGGAGGCCGCAGUGAUUCGGCCCAACCGACUGUUUACCAAAAACACAGGUCUCUGCGAAGUCGAAAGACGACGUAUAGGGGCUGACGCCUGCCCGGUGCCGGAAGGUCACGCGGAGAGGUUAGUCUUCGGACGAAGCUUUGAAGCCAAGCCCCGGUAAACGGCGGCCGUAACUAUAACGGUCCUAAGGUAGCGAAAUUCCUUGUCGGGUAAGUUCCGACCUGCACGAAUGGCGUAACGAGUUGGGCACUGUCUCAACGAGGGACUCGGUGAAAUUGUAGUGUCGGUGAAGAUGCCGACUACCCGCCGCAAGACGGAAAGACCCCGUGAACCUUUACUACAGCUUGAUAUUGGAAUUUGGGACAUCCUGUCCAGGAUAGGUGGGAGGCUGUGAAACUGGGACGUCAGUACCAGUGGAGCCAUCCUUGGGAUACCACCCUGGGUGUUCUGGAUUUCUAACGGGAGGCCGUGAUCCGGCUUCCGGACAGUGUCAGGUGGGUAGUUUGACUGGGGCGGUCGCCUCCCAAAAUGUAACGGAGGCGCGCAAAGGUUCCCUCGGUACGGUUGGAAACCGUGCUAUGAGCGUAAUGGUAUAAGGGAGCUUGACUGCGAGACCUACAAGUCGAGCAGGUACGAAAGUAGGCCAUAGUGAUCCGGCGGUGAAGAGUGGAAUUGCCGUCGCUCAACGGAUAAAAGGUACUCCGGGGAUAACAGGCUUAUCCUCCCCAAGAGUCCACAUCGACGGGAGGGUUUGGCACCUCGAUGUCGGCUCGUCGCAUCCUGGGGCUGGAGUUGGUCCCAAGGGUUGGGCUGUUCGCCCAUUAAAGCGGCACGCGAGCUGGGUUCAGAACGUCGCGAGACAGUUCGGUCCCUAUCUGCGGUGGGCGUUGGAGAUUUGAGAGGAGUCGUCUCUAGUACGAGAGGACCGGGAUGAACAGACCUCUGGUGUAUCAGUUGUCGUGCCAACGGCACUGCUGACUAGCUACGUCUGGACGGGAUAACCGCUGAAAGCAUCUAAGCGGGAAGCCCACCUCAAGAUGAGAUCUCCCACCCCUAUAAGGGGGUAAGGCUCCAGGUAGACCACCUGGUUGAUAGGCCGGAUGUGGAAGCGCAGUAAUGCGUGCAGCAGACCGGUACUAAUACGCCGAGGGCUUGACC
rnacentral:rRNA from 1 species